UACGUAGGGUCCGAGCGUUGUCCGGAAUUAUUGGGCGUAAAGAGCUCGUAGGCGGUCCGUUAAGUCGGAAGUGAAAUCUCAAGGCUCAACCUUGAAAUCGCUUUCGAUACUGGCGGACUUGAGGCAGGUAGGGGAAGGUGGAAUUCCUGGUGUAGCGGUGAAAUGCGCAGAUAUCAGGAGGAACACCGGUGGCGAAGGCGGCCUUCUGGGCCUGUUCUGACGCUGAGGAGCGAAAGCGUGGGGAGCGAACAGG
rnacentral:rRNA from 1 species